UGGCGGCGUGCCUAACACAUGCAAGUCGAACGGAGCUAAGAAGCUUGCUUUUAGCUUAGUGGCGGACGGGUGAGUAAAGCGUGAGCAACCUGCCUAUUAGAGGGGGGAUAAACUUCCGGAAACGGAUGCUAAUACCGCAUAUAGUACAUAAUUCGCAUGGAUAAGUGUAUGAAAGGAGCAAUCCGCUGAUAGAUGGGCUCACGUCCGAUUAGUUAGUUGGCAGGGUAACGGCCUACCAAGACUGCGAUCAGUAGCCGGACUGAGAGGUUGAACGGCCACAUUGGGACUGAGAUACGGCCCAGACUCCUACGGGAGGCAGCAGUGGGGAAUAUUGGGCAAUGGGCGAAAGCCUGACCCAAGCAACGCCGCGUGAAGGAAGAAGGUCUUCGGAUUGUAAACUUCUUUUAUGAGGGACGAAGGACGUGACGGUACCUCAUGAAUAAGCCACGGCUAACUACGUGCCAGCAGCAGC
rnacentral:rRNA from 1 species